rnacentral:lncRNA from 1 species
CACCACAUUACUGGAGAACCUACGGCCGUCAUCUACGAAGAUAGUUCACCAUGAAGUCAGUUAUGUGGCUCACGUUCUUGGCCCUUACAGCGGUAACCUAUGCCGCCACAGUUGUCCCAGCCGAUGAGCUCAAGGUGUCACCGUCAUUGGAAGGUAAGAACAAA